UACGUAGGGUGCGAGCGUUGUCCGGAAUUAUUGGGCGUAAAGGGCUCGUAGGCGGUCUGUUGCGUCGGUAGUGAAAACUCAGGGCUUAACCCUGAGCCUGCUUCCGAUACGGGCAGACUAGAGGUAUGCAGGGGAGAACGGAAUUCCUGGUGUAGCGGUGAAAUGCGCAGAUAUCAGGAGGAACACCGGUGGCGAAGGCGGUUCUCUGGGCCCUACCUGACGCUGAGACGCGAAAGCGUGGGGAGCGAACCGG
rnacentral:rRNA from 1 species